rnacentral:rRNA from 1 species
UACGAAGGGGGCUAGCGUUGCUCGGAAUCACUGGGCGUAAAGGGCGCGUAGGCGGCCAUUCAAGUCGGGGGUGAAAGCCUGUGGCUCAACCACAGAAUUGCCUUCGAUACUGUUUGGCUUGAGUAUGGCAGAGGUCAGUGGAACUGCGAGUGUAGAGGUGAAAUUCGUAGAUAUUCGCAAGAACACCAGUGGCGAAGGCGGCUGACUGGCCCGGUACUGACGCUGAGGCACGGAAAGCGUGGGGAGCAAACAGG